UACGAAGGGGGCUAGCGUUGCUCGGAAUCACUGGGCGUAAAGGGUGCGUAGGCGGGUUCUUAAGUCCGAGGUGAAAUCCUGGAGCUCAACUCCAGAACUGCCUUUGAUACUGAGAGUCUUGAGUUCGGGAGAGGUGAGUGGAACUGCGAGUGUAGAGGUGAAAUUCGUAGAUAUUCGCAAGAACACCAGUGGCGAAGGCGGCUCACUGGCCCGAUACUGACGCUGAUGCACGAAAGCGUGGGGAGCAAACAGG
rnacentral:rRNA from 1 species